rnacentral:rRNA from 1 species
CAGUGAGGAAGGUGGGUAUGUUAAUAGUCAUACUCAUUUGACGUUUAGCUGCAGAAGAAGCACCGGCUAACUCCGUGCCAGCAGCCGCGGUAAUACGGAGGGUGCGAGCGUUAAUCGGAAUUACUGGGCGUAAAGCGCAUGCAGGUGGUUUGUUAAGUCAGAUGUGAAAGCCCCGGGGCUCAACCUCGGAAUUGCAUUUGAAACUGGCAAACUAGAGUACUGUAGAGGGGGUAGAAUUUCAGGUGUAGCGGUGAAAUGCGUAGAGAUCUGAAGGAAUACCGGUGGCGAAGGCGGCCCCCCUGGACAGAUACUGACACUCAGAUGCGAAAGCGUGGGGAGCAAACAGGAUUAGAUACCCUGGUAG